rnacentral:rRNA from 1 species
ACCGGAUUAGAUACCCGGGUAGUCCCAGCUGNNNNNNNNGCAGACUCGGUGAUGCAUUGGCUUGUGGCCAAUGCAGUGCCGCAGGGAAGCCGUUAAGUCUGCCGCCUGGGAAGUACGUACGCAAGUAUGAAACUUAAAGGAAUUNGCGGGGGAGCACCACAAGGGGUGAAGCCUGCGGUUCAAUUGGAGUCAACGCCAGAAAUCUUACCUGGGGAGACAGCAGAAUGAAGGUCAAGCUGAAGACUUUACCAGACACGCUGAGAGGUGGUGCAUGGCCGUCGCCAGCUCGUGCCGUGAGAUGUCCUGUUAAGUCAGGUAACGAGCGAGACCCCUCGUCUAGUUGCUACCAUUACUCUCUGGAGCAGUGGAGCGAAUUAGACGGACCGCCA